ACACAGGCGGAGUGGCGAGCCAGUGAAUGGGAGGCUCUCCUGCAGCGGGGGCACCUUAGAGGCUGGUUGUGUGGGCCAAGAAUGCACUCGAAGAGCAGGAACAGAGUUUGCAAGGGGGGCUGCCGGUGUCCACGGGAACCGUGGCAGGCCAGACACACCCAUCCCUGGAGAAGCAGAAGGUCGGCUAGGAGCUAUGAACAUCCUUGCUGAGCCCCAGAAGUGAGGAGCAACAGGGGAGGAAGGAGGCUCCUAUCUUGAAGCUGUUGGGCACCUACGCAAGUGGCACAGGGAGGGGCAGGGUGUUGGCUCCGAGUGAGAGAUUUGCUUAAGCCAGAUGGUGGCCGAUGAAGGAGGCCCAGGCAACCCCUUCUGGUCUUCCAGACAGCACCACAGAAUCAUAGAAGAUAAGGAGCCACAAAGGUUCACUCUGUUUUCAAAGGUGCAGUCAAAAUGUUACACUUCUAAACUGUGGCAACGAGACACACCCUGAAGAAAGAGAGCGUUACACCUUCACAAGAAAACAGAGAAACCAAGAUACCUUGUGAUGUCUUGUACAUACCAAGAAAAAUAUGUCCUAACCUUGAAAGCCCAUUUUGGGUGUGAGUGGAACCACAUCAUUACAAAACCAAAAAGCUGUAUCUUUCUCAUCCACUAUACCCCUUCUUUUCCAAAUGGACACCUGAGACUUUGAGCUACUUCAUACAACAGAGUUUCACACUGGGACCUCCCACGUCUACCUGCAUUUCAGGCCCGAAUCUUUCCUGGCAUCAGAUUUAUCAUCAAGAACCUUUCUGUGGUUCAUUUCUUGGGGCACAAUUCUCUCGUGAUGGGGACUAAUCCCGUCAAAUCAUCCAUUUUUGUUAACAUUAAUUGUGAUAUCCAUUCCAGGUAUCUGCUUUGUGUAUAAAAAGGAAAUUUCUGAAGAUACAGCUUUAUGUGAAAAGGAGUGAUUUUAGUUGCAGAGGUUUCAUACAUAAUGGGAGGCUGGUGAAAAAGAUUAUUCCUUGCUGAAAAACUCUGGAAAAAUCAUGCCAUACAGAAAGCUGUCCACAUGGCCUAUGCAUGGAUUCAGUGCUGUGGGGGAAGGACAUACUCUUUACACUUUUACAACUUCCUGAUGUGAGUGGUUCACUCACAGGAAAAGGGGCAAUGCCUUUGUACUGACACUUUCACCCCAAGUUUCCAGCCUGUGGAGUGGAAGGUAAAACUAAAGGCGGGGUAAUCAGGCCAUCAUGAACAAAAAUAGAAAAUAGUGUCUUGGCAUGCAAAUACUGUGAAUUUCAUUUCUCUCUCUCCCUCUCUCUCUCUCUCUCUUUCUCUGCCCCCCAUCCCCCAAUCUUUUGAACAGUUCCAAUGUUACUAGUAUAUAAUUAUGACAACUGGGCUUAAAUUGAAUACUAAGUUAAUGCAUUUUGACACUCUAUUAUUCAUUAACUAAAUUUCAGUUAUUUAAGCAUGAGAUUAACAAACACUUUUGAGCAUCUACUAUAUACUAGGCAUUAUGAUGAUUACUGGGGAUAUAGAGAGACCAGAUGUGGUCCUUUCCCCAAGGAACUUACAGUCUACUGGACAGAUAAAAAUGAACAGUAAAUGAAAAUGCAGUUGCCCUGAACUCAGGGUACUAUGGGAACUUAUGGCAGAGAUAUCCAGUAUAGUCUCACAGAGUCAGGAAAAGCUUCAUGGAAGGCCAUGAUGUAUGUGUUGAAUCCUGAAAGAAACAGAACAGGAAAACCUGCAAAGAAAGACCAAGGAUUUGCAUUCUUGGCAAUUAACCAGCCUAAAGGUAAGAGAUAUCAGGGUACCUGAGGGGAACUGUGAGUUUCCAGCUUGACCAGACACAAAUAGAUGAGGGAGAAUUGAAAGACAAAGUCUGGAGAGAAAAGCACAGGGAAGAUUAGAUCAGAUUUUGCAUGUUUUUUGUAUCAUUUCCAGCCAAAUGCCUGGUCGGAUAGACCUUCUCAGAGGGUAUGGCUUGAAUGACUAAGGACACAGAAUUAUAAUAUUGUAAGGAAUUUAGAAAUAACUUAGUAUUAACACCUACCCUCUGUGCAUAAGUACUCUGUACAACAUCCAUACAGGUACCCAGAGCCUCUUCAUUACCUUUGGAGGUAAAUACCUCCAAUGAGCAGGAACACACUAUUUGGCAAAGCAGCGUUUUCCCUCCCAGUCUAAGAGCCUGUGAUGUAACUGACCUUUCUUUAAGGAAAGAUGAUCUUAUGGUCCCUGCCCUCAAGAUGUUUACAUUCUAAUGAUUGUGUGGCUUAUCCAUUAAUCUGAAAAGAAUCACAGAUAAAGUAGAUAAUAACAUAGACUAGGAAUUAGCAUUACCAGGUAUUUCAGAUUUGGGGAUUUAUUUCAUCUUAUUUCUGUGACUUAGGAUAUGAUAGAGGACCAGAUACAGUCCCUGCCAUCAAAACCCUUACGAUACAAAGGCCAAACAUAUAAGUAAGCAUGUAGGCUGGGUGCGGUGGCUCAUGCCUGUAAUCCCAGCACUUUGGGAGGCCGAGGCGGCUGGACUGCCUGAACUCAGGAGUUCGUGACCAGCCUGGGCAACACGGUGAAACCUGGUUUCUACUAAAAUACAAAAAAAAUUAGCUGGGCAUGGUGGUGUGCACCUGCAGUCCUAGCUACUUGGGACGCUGAGGCAGGAGAAUUGCUCGAACUCAGGAGGCGGAGGUUGCAGUGAGCCAAGUUCAAACCACUACACUCCAGCUUGGGCGACAGAGUGAGACUCCAUCUCAAAAAAAAAAAGAAAAAAGUAAACUUGUAAGGACACUUUAUAUAAUUGAUGUGUGUGAACAAUAUGAAUGCAUGUGGACACUGACCAACUAAAGUAAAGGUAGUUCAGAAAUCCUGGGCAGUUCCCAUUAGGGCUGCCUGAACGGAGGCUGGGAGCACAGAAAGGAGAUGGAGCUACAAAACACAUAAAUGUAAGCUACACAGAAAAAGGGUCAAUUAAACAAAUCUUGUUGACUCUGGAGUCUGGCUCUGCAUCCCUUUUAAGUGAAGGCCAGGGGCUUCCCACUGGGUUUAGGUUGGAGCUGGCCUGCAGGAUAGAUUGUGUACUGGAUAUCAUGCAAUCAAAUCCUAUCUGGAGACCUAUUAACGGGCCUCAUGUGGUGUUUUUCAUAAGGAAAAUCACCCUCUGUUAUUUAAUGGAGGUCUGUAGACUUUGAGUCUGUUUUAUAGUGGGGAUGUUCUUUGUAGAUGACAACUACAGGGAUUGGAGACAUUACUUUAACCCAAACACUGUGGCAGCUGGGAAAGGAAGAUUUUUGGAGGAAAUGAGACUUGGAGAACACAUCACAUCUCAUCAUAUAAAAAGCUGUUCAUAGAUUCUGUUCUGCACCUUCCUUUAUUCUCACGUUGCGUAUAAGUUACUUGCGGAUAUUCUCCUCCAGAUCCAUAAAUUGUAAGUCAACUUCCAUUUUAGGUUUCUCAGACCAAGUUUGUGUGGUCAAAAUUAGCAUGGAGUUACAAGCUCUUAACUCUGUACUUCUGCCUCAAGGGAACAUGUUUUUCUGUAGAUAUUUAGAAAACUCAGCACUCAGUUUGUGCUUCACAUUAUGGGGUUCCCUUUUCUUCUCAGAUAAUCCAGGUCUUCCACCUUGGUGUUUCAGGACUAUCAUUAUUUAUACAUUUUAGAUUACACUGCCAGACCCUAAGGUUGUUCCAAGAGCUCUUGGCUGCACUGGACAUUGUAUUCUUUUCCUAACAGUGCUGUAAGAAAUGGCCAAAAAUUAGUGUUUAAAGCAAUGUAAAUUUACUAUCUUCUAAUUCGGAGUCAGACUUUCUAAAAUCAGUGUGUUGGUAUGGCUGCAUUCCCUCUCAGUGCUCUAGGGGAGGACCCAUUUUCCUUCCCUUUUUAGGUUCUUGAUCCUAUGUGCAUUCUUUUGCAACCCUUGACCUGUGGCUUCUUCUUUCAUCUUCAAUGCCCACAGUGUAUCUUCUUCAAAUUUCAAGUCUCUUUCUCUUCCUUAUUGUCUCUCAUUUUUAUAAGGCAAACAGUAAAAGCAUAUGGUCUCACGCCUUCCAGCCAAAACAUAAUCAUUCUGAAGGGCAAAAUAUGGCAUACAAAUAUUUUACAUGUGGCCUCAUUCUUUGGCUCGGUGGCGUCUUUUCUUCAACUUCAGCUUCUUCAGGCCAAUCUGUGGGUAUUUCUAGACAUCUGCAGGAAAGCUCUGGAAUUCUUGUAUGUUGCACAGUGUUCCUAAAGAUUGGUCAUGCUACAGAUUGUGCAGAUUGUUUCUGUACCAGCCAGUCAAUCAGCCAACAGAUAAUCAAGAAAUAUGUAUUAAGUUUCUAUUAUUAUACCAGGUACUCUGCUGCAUGUAGGGGAUACAGUGGAGAAUAAGACAGAUGUUCAAGCGUUAUCAACAGACAGCAUCAAAAAAGCAAGCAGAGUAGCAGAAACUGAAUUACGGCUAUUUACUAGGCAUAUCUUCAAGAGCAGAAUAAGCAGAAUGCAAACUAACACAAUGCAAAGGAGGAAAGAUUGGAGUCUGCGUCUAUAAUAAAACUGCACUGCACUAGUUGUUCAAGAAUAAUAGAUAAAAAUUAAAAGACUUAGAUCCUGCAUUCAGAAAGUUUUCAGUGUAAGUGGGCAGACAGAAUAUUAUACAUAAAAUGAUAAAAUAAGUUAGCCAAUUAUAAAUAUAAAUCAAGAGCAGGAGCAAGGGUACGGAAGGAAGAAUUGUCUAGCAAGGUGAGGGAGCAAUGAGCUCAGACCUGAGGGACUGUUGUGAACAGUCAUGGAAGGAGGCUGGAGGCUGCCACAUGUAGUGGGAGUAAAGAAAGAUUUGGACUUUCAACAAAGCAUUUUCAACGCUAAGGAAUAAUCGCUGUUGGUAGGGCAAAAUCAUUCUGUAAAGUACAUCUGCACGGGUGUUGACAAAUCUAGAUGAAAGUUGCUACAUAGAUAUCAGGUGUGGUUACAAAAUCUAAGCUCCUUGAUGGACGGGACUUUGCUUUAUUCACCAUUCUACCCAUAGAACUCAAACUACUGCCUGGCACAGAGUAGGCAGUCAGUAAACAUUUGUUGGUGGAUAAGUGAGUGAACAAAUGCAGAGACAGAGGAAUGAGCAGAGAAUUGCACUUUGGACCAAGGACAGUAAUAAAUAGACCCCUCUAGCUUACCUCUCUGGAAUGCAAUACUAAUCACCCAAAAGCAGGUUAUCAUCAAUUUCCUUUGCCUACCUGGAGAGCCAAAGAAAUCAAGGCCAGACAUGGAGGGUCUUAAGUCACAGACACAGCUUGUCCCUGCACACCGGAGCAGGAGUGGAAGCUGGGAGGUCUUUUUAUUACAUACAUCCUAUAACAGUUCUCAUGGGCUUGGCUUACAAAUCCUACAAAAAUAAGAAUGAGUAAAAGAACUGGGGAGUAUUUCUAGGAACUCCCUUGUUCUUCCAACACCCUACUCUUGUCUCUUUCAAGUGAUCUGCUCCAAUGACUGCCCCAUGUGGCAUAAGUCCCCCACCCCAGCACUGAGAGCCACAGUGUCGCUAUUGGAGGAGAAACCUGAAGACAGGGGAACUGACAGAGACAAGUGCGUUAGACUAAAUCCAGCGUCUAAUGAAGUUCCACAGCAAUUACUUGCCAUGCUGUUUAUGGAAACAGUUUCCUGUCUCCUUCAUGUGGCCUCAGCAGGCCUUUCAGUAUCUCAUGCUUUGCAGAGUCCCUGUGAAAUUUUCCCUCAGCCUUUCUCAGGGUGCUCCCAUACACCUUGGAGUUUCUUUUAGCCAACAUCUCAAUCAACUGGGGCUUUGAAGAUGGAUUUUUGUUAAUAAAGUGAAUUAUGUGACACUAUUCUUCCACAGGACAAUUUUUCAUCUAUCAGGCCAGGCCCUUGAUGCAGGAGAAGGUGGCAGUGAAGGAUCUGGAAGGGGCGUCUUUCUGUGUCUCAGCUGUUUCCUGGAAGUUUGCUCCUGGGCACCUCCACCUUUUCUUCACCUCUACCUUCCUUCAUUAGGAGAAACCAGAAUGGUCCCCGACUUCCCAGAGCAGGUCCCCAGCAAGGAGCAAAGAAACAAAAUACAAAGUAAAUAAACACUGGGACAAGAGGGCAUGCAGAGUAAUGAUAAUGUUGUGAACAUGAAAAGCACUGUGGCCUCACUCCACAUCUGAUAUGUUCGGAUAUUUUAUCCCCUCCAUUCGCAUGCUGAGAUGUGAUCCUCAUGUUGGAGGUGGGCCUGGUGGGAGGUGUUGGGGUCGUGGAGGUGGAUCCCUCAUGAAUGACUCGGUGCCCCCUCAUGGUAAUGAGUAAAUUCUUGCUCUGUGAGUUCACCCAAUAUCUGGUUGUUUAAGAAAGCCUGGAACUUCCAGCUCCCUCUCUCUUGCUCACUCUCUCCCUCAUGUGACAUCCAGGCUCCCCUUAGACUUUUCACCUUGACUAUAACAUUCCUGAGGCCCUCACCAGAAGCAGAUGCUGGCACGAUGCUUUGUGUGCAUCCUGCAGAACUGUGAGCCAAAUAAGCUUAUUUUUGUUAUAAAUUACCCAGCCGCACAUAUUCCUUUAUAGCAAUGCAAAUGGACUAAUGCACCAUCCCCAGUGGCCUCCUUCCAAUCCACAACCUGCUAGCCAAGCAAGGGUGGUGGAGGCAGAUUUGAGGGUGAGCCCUGGGAUAUGAGGCAACUCUCAUGUGUGACUGGCUGUGGCCUUGAAGCAGCUGCAAUGAUUUUCAUCUCCUGGGCAGACUGAGGUUAGGAGUUUAAUCUAUGCUACGGGGUGAGGUCAGAACACCUUCCCUUGUUUUGAUCUCAUUGGGCUCCAGCCUCCCUUAUAAAGGUCCUAUUAAAAGGGGCUAUAACUGCCUCUGUCUUGGCCUGCCUACUCUAUGGGAAUUUUCCUAUAAUUUUGAAGUAUUUCAAAUCAAAAUUUAAUUAUUUGGAAUGGUUUAUUUAAAACCCUUCUGAAGGAAAGAGGAAGGGCUAAAUGAGGUCUUUGGCAUUCUCCUGUACUGCUACUUUCAGUGGGGCUCUUUCUGCCCAAGGCUCUUUUUCAGUAAAUUGCCCUGGUUGGCUAAACCCAGUGGGUUUCUUCCUAUCACCAUAUCCCAUAUACUCUUACAGGAAUUUCAGAAGAAUUACUCCUUUUUGUUUCCUGAAAUGAGCAUUCUAUGAGCCUAUGUUUUUAAAUAAAAUAGCCUGGAACCAUUUUCAUUAAAAGAUAGUACAGCAGUACAGUGCAAACAUUUAACUUAUGAAAACUAACAAGCAGAUGAAACAAAAAGAGUUGAGGGCACUCAGUGAGGAAUGCUCACUAUUGAGGUGUUAGUCGUGAAGCACUGAAGAGAGUUUGAGAGAGUUCAGGGAGGUGUUCUAAGCACAUCUGCCCUCAGCAUGUACUGUUUGUAUAGGAUGUGAGGUUCUGGACCAAGUCUCAGCAAGGAGAGAAAAGGAGUGGGGAAUGCAAUGAGGUCUCUCUCCUCAUAGUGCUCAGUCCAGGGGAAACCUAGAAAGGAGUAAGUCAGGGUCACCCUACAACUAUUUUUGAGGCCACAGUUGCACAGGGCACCCACUGAACACCAUUUCAGUUCAAAAGACACACUUGCUUAUGAGCCUCAUUGAGGGUAACUCAUCUUGUAUUCACCAGAGAAAGGGGGAAACCCACUAAUCUAGAAGUAAAGGGACCUGUAACACAAGAGCUUCUGUAUGACACUGCCAAGGCUCUGUACUGACUUUCAAAAACAAAACAAAAGUAAGAAGUUUAUAAUGGUAAGAAGAAUUGAAACCUGCAAAGCAAGUUUAUCAAAAUAUAAGGUUAAAGUGGGGAUUCCAAAUUGUCCAAUAUAAUAUGACGCUAAGUCAAAAUUUCGUUACCACCUUGAAACUUUUCUUCAUGAGAAUUUUGUUCCAUCUGUGUCUCAUUAACAUGUUCACUUAUGUUUACUGUCCUAUGAAGUCAUUACAUAGCCUCUUUUCUGAGGGCUCAGACCUCUAGACAGUCCUUCCUCAAGUUCACCUGAGAGUCACACCUGGCCUGAAACCUUUAAAUCUAAGAGAAAAACUCACCUAUACAUUUCAACAAUGUUUACUUAAAAAUCCAAGUUAUCCAAGGUCAUAAUUUUCAUGGAAUAUUGCCAGAGGGUCUUUAACUAAAUGUCACCUUUUAAUUAAGAAGGCAACUGGCAACUAUUUCUAAAACUUAGAUUGCCGUCUCAACAUUCUCUAUUUCUCUUUACCUCUCCUUAUUUUUUCCUUAGCACUUACCACCAUUUAACCUAGAUUAUAUUAAAUGUGUCUGGUUUGUUGUCUGUGUCACAUAGUAGAAUGUUAGUUCCAUAAGGGAGUAAAUUUUGACUCUUAUUUACAACUAUAGUCCCAGUAUCUAAAACAAAGCUUAGAACACAUUAAGAACUUGAUAAAUAUUCAUUAUCAAAUUCUACAGCUCAACUUAGCACCACUAGACCCAUUGACUCUGAUGCUGAUAUCUUCUCAACAAAAUCAUACAUGACAUAAGAAAAAUAAAUAGCUUCUUCUCAUAUGAUGGGUUUUCUAGACCAAUAUUAACCAGUGUCUACAUGUGACUGUUGAGCAUGGAAAUGUGACUAGUCCAAAUUGAAAUGUGAGUAUGAAAUACACACUGGAUUUCAAAGAAUUUGGAUAAAAAAAGGAUGGAGAAUAUCUCAGGAAUCAUUUUAUAUUGAUUGCAUAUUGAAAUGAUAGUAUUUUAGAUAUAUUGGGU
rnacentral:lncRNA from 1 species